rnacentral:rRNA from 1 species
CUCAACUCCGGGAUUGCCAUUGAAACUGUUUCACUUGAGUGUAGUCGAGGACGGCGGAAUGAGUUAUGUAGCGGUGAAAUGCAUAGAUAUAACUCAGAACACCGAUUGCGAAGGCAGCUGUCUAGGCUAUAACUGACGCUGAGGCACGAAAGCGUGGGGAGCGAACAGGAUUAGAUACCCUGGUAGUCCACGCAGUAAACGAUGAUCACUCGUUGUUGGCUACGUAGUAGUCAGUGACUGAGGGAAACCAUUAAGUGAUCCACCUGGGGAGUACGUCGGCAACGAUGAAACUCAAAGGAAUUGACGGGGGCCCGCACAAGCGGAGGAACAUGUGGUUUAAUUCGAUGAUACGCGAGGAACCUUACCUGGGCUUAAAUGCAGGCUGCAUUCAGGGGAAACUCUGAUUUCCUACGGGACCG